AUUGAACGCUGGCGGCAGGCCUAACACAUGCAAGUCGAGCUAGCGGCGGACGGGUGAGUAAUGUAUGGGGACUGCCCGAUAUAUGGGGAUAACUACUGGAAACGGUAGCUAAUACCGCAUACUAUCGGAUAACCCAUAUGGGAUUAGCUAGUAGGGGAGGUAAUGGCUCACCUAGGCGACGAUCCCUAGCUGUUCUGAGAGGAUGAUCAGCAACACUGUGACUGAGACACGGCCCAGACUCCUACGGAGGCAGCAGUGGGGAAUAUUGAACAAUGGGCGCAAGGCUGAUGCAGCCAUGCCGCGUGUAUGAAGAAGGCCCUAGGGUUGUAAAGUACUUUCAGUCGGGAGGCGUUACCGACAGAAGAAGCACCGGCUAACUCCGUGCCAGCAGCCGCGGUAAUUC
rnacentral:rRNA from 1 species